rnacentral:lncRNA from 10 species
CUUCCUGUAAGGUCUUGAGCAGGUCAUUUAACUGCACCUGAAAAUGAAAAUAACUGUCCCCACCUCAACCAGUUGUUGUAAGGAUUAAUGAGAUAAUAGAUAUAAAAGCAUUUGAUAAGCUUUAAAAUGUUUUAAGAACAUAAGGUCUACUAUCUUCCAGUGAUAAUUGAGAAUAGUAAUUGUGUGUUCCUUGUUUGCUUCAUUAGGCAAGGUGAUCAAAAAUAUUUGUCAAAUGAAUGCAUAAAUUAAUGAAUGAAUGAGAAGUGAGUGAGUGAAUGGACAAGUGAAAAAAUCAAUAAAUGCCUAAAUGCAA